GCCUUCUAUAGCUUAGUUCGUAGAGCACCCGCUUAGUAGGCGGGAGGUCGUCGGUUCGACUGCGGCAGAAGGCU
rnacentral:tRNA from 1 species